AGGACGAACGCUGGCGGCGUGCUUAACACAUGCAAGUCGAGCGGUAAGGCCUUUCGGGGUACACGAGCGGCGAACGGGUGAGUAACACGUGGGUGAUCUGCCCUGCACUUCGGGAUAAGCCUGGGAAACUGGGUCUAAUACCGGAUAUGACCUCCUAUCGCAUGGUGGGUGGUGGAAAGAUUUAUCGGUGCAGGAUGGGCCCGCGGCCUACCAGCUUGUUGGUGGGUAAUGGCCUACCAAGGCGACGACGGGUA
rnacentral:rRNA from 1 species